rnacentral:tRNA from 1 species
CGGAGUGUAGCUCAGCUUGGUAGAGCACUGCCUUCGGGAGGCAGGGGCCGGAGGUUCAAAUCCUCUCACUCCGACCA